rnacentral:rRNA from 1 species
GAUGAACGCUGGCGGCGUGCCUAAUACAUGCAAGUCGAGCGAACAGAUAAGGAGCUUGCUCCUUUGACGUUAGCGGCGGACGGGUGAGUAACACGUGGGUAACCUACCUAUAAGACUGGGAUAACUUCGGGAAACCGGAGCCAAUACCGGAUAAUAUUUCGAACCGCAUGGUUCGAUAGUGAAAGAUGGUUUUGCUAUCACUUAUAGAUGGACCCGCGCCGUAUUAGCUAGUUGGUAAGGUAACGGCUUACCAAGGCGACGAUACGUAGCCGACCUGAGAGGGUGAUCGGCCACACUGGAACUGAGACACGGUCCAGACUCCUACGGGAGGCAGCAGUAGGGAAUCUUCCGCAAUGGGCGAAAGCCUGACGGAGCAACGCCGCGUGAGUGAUGAAGGUCUUCGGAUCGUAAAACUCUGUUAUUAGGGAAGAACAUACGUGUAAGUAACUGUGCACGUCUUGACGGUACCUAAUCAGAAAGCCACGGCUAACUACGUG